rnacentral:tRNA from 1 species
GGGCUGUAAGCUCAUUUGGUAUGAGCAAGCCCCUCAUAAGGGCGAGGCAGGCAGGUUCGAAUCCUCCACGGCCCACCA